CCUACGGGCGGCAGCAGUGAGGAAUAUUGGUCAAUGGGCGCUAGCCUGAACCAGCCAAGUAGCGUGAAGGAUGAAGGCCCUAUGGGUCGUAAACUUCUUUUAUAUAAGAAUAAAGUGCAGUAUGUAUACUGUUUUGUAUGUACUAUAUGAAUAAGGAUCGGCUAACUCCGUGCCAGCAGCCGCGGUAAUACGGAGGAUCCGAGCGUUAUCCGGAUUUAUUGGGUUUAAAGGGAGCGUAGGUGGGUUGGUAAGUCAGUUGUGAAAGUUUGCGGCUCAACCGUAAAAUUGCAGUUGAUACUGUCAGUCUUGAGUACAGUAGAGGUAGGCGGAAUUCGUGGUGUAGCGGUGAAAUGCUUAGAUAUCACGAAGAACUCCGAUUGCGAAGGCAGCUCACUGGACUGCCACUGACACUGAUGCUCGAAAGUGUGGGUAUCAAACAGGAUUAGAUACCCUAGUAGUC
rnacentral:rRNA from 1 species